rnacentral:rRNA from 1 species
GAUGAACGCUGGCGGCGUGCCUAAUACAUGCAAGUCGAGCGAACGGACGAGAAGCUUGCUUCUCUGAUGUUAGCGGCGGACGGGUGAGUAACACGUGGAUAACCUACCUAUAAGACUGGGAUAACUUCGGGAAACCGGAGCUAAUACCGGAUAAUAUUUUGAACCGCAUGGUUCAAAAGUGAAAGACGGUCUUGCUGUCACUUAUAGAUGGAUCUGCGCUGCAUUAGCUAGUUGGUAAGGUAACGGCUUACCAAGGCAACGAUGCAUAGCCGACCUGAGAGGGUGAUCGGCCACACUGGAACUGAGACACGGUCCAGACUCCUACGGGAGGCAGCAGUAGGGAAUCUUCCGCAAUGGGCGAAAGCCUGACGGAGCAACGCCGCGUGAGUGAUGAAGGUCUUCGGAUCGUAAAACUCUGUUAUUAGGGAAGAACAUAUGUGUAAGUAACUGUGCACAUCUUGACGGUACCUAAUCAGAAAGCCACGGCUAACUACGCG